ensembl:lncRNA
CCUCCCUCCCUCCCCUCUCCCCUCUCCCUCCCUCUCCCUCUCUCCCUCCCUCUCCCUCUCCCCCCCUCUCUCUCUCCUUCUGUCUAACAGAGGAAGAGCCCAGGGAGAUGUUCAAUGUAUUUGUUUCCACAUGGUGACCAACCCAACAGGUUAAAACUCUGUACUGAAUAAGACACUGUAUAAUAAUUAUACCAAUAGAAGUAUGUUGUAAGUGCUUCUGAUUCCCACAAGAGGAACAUGUUCAGAGGGUUAAAACACAUCAGUCUUCAGAACACUGUCAACAACUGGUUUGGUCUGUUACGUAGAGCAUCUGAAGACAGGACAGAAACAUGCUGUUCAGAAGGUCUAUGGAGGGAAAACAGUUGAUGACUGAACAUGUGACUUCUUAUCCAGGUCUCCAUUGGUUCAACUGUUUCAGUUUAAACUGAGUUUACAGUGAUCUGCCCGAUACGGUAUGGUGGCCUGGGAGGGACACUGGUCUUUUAAAGGCUCAUGUUACUCUUAGGGACGACUGUACUCUACACCUCUUGUCUGUCUACCACACUCCCAUACCUACAUUCCUAUAUAAUGGGUACUAUGUUGGUAUCUCUCUGUUUAUGAUUUGUGACACAGAGGUCAUAUGGAGUUUUGCUCAUUGUUUUUGUGUAAAUACUGAUACUGUGGUGAUGAUAUGAAACAUGUGAUUGGAUAGGAGUGGUGUGGUGAAUCUAAAGGAUUUGAUUGGACGGGAGAGAAAGUGGUGUGGUGAAUCUAAAGGAUUUGAUUGGACAGGAGAGAAUGUGGUGUGGUGAAUCUAAAGGAUUUGAUUGGACAGGAGAGAAAGUGGUGUGGUAAAUCUAAAUGAUUUGAUUGGACAGGAGAGAAUGUGGUGUGGUAAUUCUAAUGGAUUUGAUUGGACAGGAGAGAAAGAGGUGUGGUGAUUCUAAUGGAUUUGAUUGGACGGGAGAGAAAGAGGUGUGGUGAAUCUGAAGGAUUUGAUUGGACGGGAGAGAAAGAGGUGUGGUGAAUCUGAAGGAUGGCUGCAGUGCCUUGUCAGAGAGCAGUUGUUGUUUUUUGACACGGUAUUUGGUUCCAGUCUGCACCAUUUUAGUAAAAGUUGUACAAAACUAAACCGCGUGCCUCAUCUCCUUCCUUUCAUCCUCCUACAUUGCCAUUUAGCCAAGGCUUUUAUUCAAAGCCACUCACAGUGCACCUGCAUUUUUUUAUACACAUGUGACAACAAUUGUUGUUGUGAUGCAACUGAUAUUUAUGUGAAGGUUUGUCCCCCAACACUUUUUAUGCAGAUAACCUGCCACUCUUAUCACGACUGCUGUGCCAAACGCGUUGUACAUCGGCUGUACAACUUGUGUACGUGGCCUUAUAGGGAGAACCUCCAUUGCUGUUUCCGUGAUCCCUCUUUCGUCCCUCUCUCUCUCUCCUCACCGCCUCCUCAAAACCCAUUGAAUGAGAAGGUCAGAGGUCCCUCCUGUUUGGCAUUCUCAUCCAACAGGGUUUUGAGAAAGAGGCGAGGAGAAAGGGCUUUGAGGAAUCCAGGAAAUGCAAUUGUGAUUCUCCCUGUUGUUUGUGAGUUGUGAGUCACAGGGCCCCACCACUCAGACGUGUAACAGGGACAAUCAUUUGAUGGUAAAUCAACAGUGUUUAUUAAUGUGUAAAACAAGGGUCUAUCAGGAGGCAGAGUACAGAACAUUAAGCUACAACACUAUAAAACAUCAGAGACAGGAGAUAAACAACAACACAAACAUUGUCAUGUCAUGGGUGGGUGUGGAUGUCUGUCUGUCUGUCUGUCUGUCUGUCUGUCUGUCUGUCUGUCUGUCUGUCUGUCUGUCUGUCUGUAUGUAUGUAUGUAUGUAUGUAUGUAUGUAUGUAUGUAUGUAUGUAUGUAUGUAUGUAU